CAGGGAGACAAACAACGAUUUUGAUGCCUGAGUAUUUUUAUUCUUAGGCCGAAAUCCUGUCACCUUAGGUCGAUCGGUACCUCAACUUCAAUCCUGUGAGUCGCAAGACUGCACAACGAUUGAUUUUUAGUUCCUAAACGUUGUCUAGGUCACCCCAUAGAGGGUUCACUUCCUGGGCCAUUAUCUCAGGUGGUUAGAGCGCACCCCUGAUAAGGGUGAGGUCCCUGGUUCAAGUCCAGGAUGGCCCAUUCCAGACUCCAUUUUGGAUCCUUUGGGGGUUUAGCUCAGUUGGUAGAGCGCCUGCUUUGCAAGCAGGAUGUCAGCGUGUCGAGUCCGCUAACCUCCGCUAACGUAUGUGAACUCCAAAGCGACGAAGAAGCUUCUGGUUGGUGACUAGACCUUGUUCGCUGAAUGAUUCCCUCGGAUAGCCCUCGAUAGGCGCCGCGACGCAUUCGAAUGACCGGGGGGGUGUGAUUUGCUCCACUGAU
rnacentral:tRNA from 1 species